rnacentral:rRNA from 1 species
GCAUAUCAAUAAGCGGAGGAAAAGAAACCAACAGGGAUUGCCCCAGUAACGGCGAGUGAAGCGGCAACAGCUCAAAUUUGAAAUCUGGCCCCAGGCCCGAGUUGUAAUUUGCAGAGGAUGCUUUUGGCGCGGUGCCUUCCGAGUUCCCUGGAACGGGACGCCAUAGAGGGUGAGAGCCCCGUACGGUUGGACACCAAGCCUUUGUAAAGCUCCUUCGACGAGUCGAGUAGUUUGGGAAUGCUGCUCUAAAUGGGAGGUACAUUUCUUCUAAAGCUAAAUAUUGGCCAGAGACCGAUAGCGCACAAGUAGAGUGAUCGAAAGAUGAAAAGCACUUUGAAAAGAGGGUUAAACAGCACGUGAAAUUGUUAAAAGGGAAGCGCUUGUGACCAGACUUGCGUCCGGUGAGUCACCCAGCUCUCGCGGCUGGGGCACUUCGCCGGCACAGGCCAGCAUCAGCUUGCCGUCGGGGACAAAAGCUUCAGGAACGUGGCUCCUCUCGGGGAGUGUUAUAGCCUGUUGCAUAAUACCCUUCGGCGGGCUGAGGUACGCGCUCCGCAAGGAUGCUGGCGUAAUGGUCAUCAGCGACCCGUCUUGAAACACGGACCAAGGAGUCAACCUUAUGUGCGAGUGUUUGGGUGUUAAACCCCUACGCGUAAUGAAAGUGAACGCAGGUGAGAGCUUCGGCGCAUCAUCGACCGAUCCUGAUGUUCUCGGAUGGAUUUGAGUAAGAGCAUAUAGGGUUGGACCCGAAAGAAGGUGAACUAUGCGUGUGUAGGGUGAAGCCAGAGGAAACUCUGGUGGAGGCUCGCAGCGGUUCUGACGUGCAAAUCGAUCGUCAAACAUGCGCAUGGGGGCGAAAGACUAAUCGAACCUUCUAGUAGCUGGUUUCCGCC